GACGAACGCUGGCGGCGUGCUUAACACAUGCAAGUCGAGCGGAAAGGCCCUUCGGGGUACUCGAGCGGCGAACGGGUGAGUAACACGUGAGUAACCUGCCCCAGACUUUGGGAUAACCCUCGGAAACGGGGGCUAAUACCGGAUACGACACAGCUUCGCAUGGGGUCUGUGUGGAAAGUUUUUCGGUUUGGGAUGGGCUCGCGGCCUAUCAGCUUGUUGGUGGGGUGAUGGCCUACCAAGGCGACGACGGGUAGCCGGCCUGAGAGGGCGACCGGCCACACUGGGACUGAGACACGGCCCAGCCUCCUACGGGAGGCAGCUGUGGGGAAUAUUGCACAAUGGGCGGAAGCCUGAUGCAGCGACGCCGCGUGAGGGAUGACGGCCUUCGGGUUGUAAACCUCUUUCAGCAGGGACGAAGCGUAAGUGACGGUACCUGCAGAAGAAGCGCCGGCCAACUACGUG
rnacentral:rRNA from 1 species